UGGAGGUAAGGUGUUAGAGACAAGGAUCCUGAAACACCUGAUCCUCUGAUAGUGACAGGCACAGAAAAAGUACAAAACACACAACUGGGCACCUGAGCACAGGGAAACAGCUUUAAGCCGCACAGAAUAUUCCUACACAGCCCAACAGCUGACAUUCAAAAGGGAUGGCCUGAGUUACUGAAGGUUUAAAUUAUACUUUGAAGAGUCUGCUUAAGAAAACAAAGCUCUAACACCGAUUGAAUUUUUCGUGGAAUAAGUUUCAGUCACCGGGAAACGGCAUGGGACAGUUCAGUCAUUAGGAUGCUACUUGGACAUUUUAAGACGGAAACUAUGUUGUGGGUCUGGAGACGGUUCUGCAGUCUCGUAACGACUUUCACCGAUACACAACAGAAUGCAGUGGUAAAGAAACCAUGGACCAAGUGGGCUGUUGGGCAGAGGAGUCCCCACGCUAUAACAGGGAGUAGAGGAGAUACCUGAUUUCUUUGGCUUGUCUUUCCCAGAAGAUGAGGAGCAGAACCUGGAAAGUCCGAACACAAUUUGGUGUUGACUCACAGAAUGUUCUCUGAAUCGAUGACCUUCGGUGUGUGCCAAAGCUGACUGACUCACUGGUCUCUUCCCCCAACCAAGCUGGUUCUCUGGGCUCGGCAGGAGUCCUGACUGAGACCUCUCCUUACUCCAUAUUCUCUUUAUUACUAAUGAGGCGUGGUUCCUUAAUUACUAGGUGCUGGAUACCAGAAUUGAUUUCCUUUGUUUCAGUGAAUUUAGGAAAAGACUUAUGAAUAUUUCUUGCGCUUGACAUGAACUGCUUGAUUUUUUUUUUUUUUUUCCGGCCUGCAAAGGUCACUGAAGGGAGACAAGGCAAAGUGACGCCUAGAGCAUCAACAAGUAUGAAAUUCACCUUUAUCAUUGAAGCAUUCAGAUCCUUUGAUACACGUUCCCUGGACACUCUGCUGCCUUAUUUAAAGUAAAAAACAACCAGAAUGUGGGAGGUGCCCCAGGUAGCUCAAUAUUCUGUGAGCUAAAUGAGUGAUAUCAGUAUAUUAAAUCACUAAUAGCCCUCGUUGUAAAAAACUGUUCCAACAUAGAUGAGCCUAAAUUUCCUACCUUAGGGUGUCCCACCUCUUGAACAUAACUGACUCCUUAAUGAUUCAGAGUUUCAAAGCCUCAGGGUCCUAAUCCUGAGAAGCAGAGACUGGGGAAAUUUUGCUGAAGUUUGUUGGCUGGCUAUGGGAUCUAUUAAGAAAUUGUCUUUGUUGGUAUUAAAUCCAAGACUUUUUUUUUAAACCAUUUUUUUUUUUCUCAUGAAAACCGUAAAGUUAAUGAAGGUAGAGGCUGGUUAGAGUUUCAUUUAAUGGAUAAGCUCUUUCUCGAAGUCUUGGAGCACUUAUGUCUGAGGGCAAAAUGUUUAGUUGUGAUGAUCUGUGUUGGCCAUUCCAGCACAAAUAGCCUGAGGUUGCAAUGGUUAGAAUCAUCCACACUGUCCCUGCCAAAACACGGAUCCUGGCAGGUCACCUAGCCUCUGUUGGCCUCAGUUUCCUCCUCUGUAAAAUGGGCGGAAUAAUCAGGCAAGGUGCAGUAUUUAACCUAAGUGAGGAAAGUGGAUUAUUAUUGCCCUAAAAAACCUGUAGAA